AGAACGAACGCUGGCGGCACGCCUAACACAUGCAAGUCGAGCGCCCAGCAAUGGGAGCGGCGGACGGGUGAGUAACACGUGGGAACAUGCCUUUCGGUACGGAACAACUGCGGGAAACUGCAGCUAAUGCCGUAUACGCCCUUACGGGGAAAGAUUUAUCGCCGAAAGAUUGGCCCGCGUCUGAUUAGCUAGUUGGUGAGGUAACGGCUCACCAAGGCUUCGAUCAGUAGCUGGUUUGAGAGAACGACCAGCCACAUUGGGACUGAGACACGGCCCAAACUCCUACGGGAGGCAGCAGUGGGAAUCUUGGACAAUGGGGAAACCCUGAUCCAGCGAUGCCGCGUGAGUGAUGAAGGCCUUCGGGUUGUAAAACUCUUUCGACGGGGACGAUAAUGACGGUACCGUAGAAGAAGCUCCGGCUAACUUCGUGCCAGCAGCCGC
rnacentral:rRNA from 1 species